GGACCCGCACAAGUAGUGGAGCAUGUGGUUUAAUUCGAAGAUACGCGCAGAACCUUACCAACACUUGACAUGUUCGUCGCGACUUUAAGAGAUUAAAGUUUUCGGUUCGGCCGGACGAAACACAGGUGCUGCAUGGCUGUCGUCAGCUCGUGUCGUGAGAUGUUGGUUAAGUCCCGCAACGAUGCGCAACCCUCACUUUUUAGUUGCCAUCAUUUAGUUGGGCACUCUGAAAGAACUGCCAGUGAUAAGCUGGAGGAAGGUGGGGAUGACGUCAAGUCCUCAUGGCCCUUACGUGUUGGGCUACACACGUGCUACAAUGGUAUCUACAACAGGAAGCAAGACGGCGACGUCAAGCAAA
rnacentral:rRNA from 1 species